rnacentral:snRNA from 1 species
AACCAUAACCAACUAAACCCAAA